GAGAAAGCUGAUAGGUUGGAGGAGCUGUGAUGUCCUGAAGUCAUGAAAGCAUAAGCCCAGAGAGAAGCCUAGCUUUGUAUCACCAUGCCCAGGACUAAGACAGACAAUAUGCUUAUUGUGAUUGGAUAUAAACACCUAAAACAUAACACUGAUGAACAAAGAAUGGCCUGGCCCCCACUGCUUGAGAGAUGCUUUAGGUUGAGGCUGGUCAAGUGUGGGUUCUCUUCCCUUCACUACUGAAAGGUGCAUAAUGGACACCAUCUCUAAUGGGAACCUGGCGACCAAGGUUUACCACUGACCACAGAACUUGUGGCUCAUAGCCUGUGACCCAAGCCAGGUUCAGCUCCCCUUCUCAGCAGCCAAGAAAGGACAAAUUAAUGGUAGAAAGCAGAAAAUGGAGAUUUAUCCAAUGAGGUCACCCUGGGAAAAACAAAGAGACUCAGGGACUACUCCCGUUACCCUAUGGGUCCUGAAGGGAGACUGAAGCUUAGGGAGAGGGUCGAGGAUAUGCACAUCUGAGUAGCCUGGGCAAGGUGUGGCCCGGCCCACCAUCGACCCAUCGUCGUCUGGUCCAGUUACAGACACACAGAAGAAUCUGAUAAAUGUGCAAAGUAAAUGUUCAGCUUUCCUUGACAAACUUUCGACUCAAUAUGAAAAAGAAUUACUUAGAGUCACCGUGCCCUCGUCACCACCCGUGUCCCAUUUGGUUAUUAAAUUGUCCCUUUACCUAGAGCAAGGAACAAAGAGACUGGCCUCAUGCUGCAUGCUUGUCAACUGGAUCCUGUUUUCUAUGUGCUUCAUUCUGCUUCACACACAUUUUUAUUUCAUGUUCACACUGGUCCCCACAUGGAGGCUGAGAGAAAAGAAGGUGAACCAUUGUUCUUAAAACCAGAACUGAAAGCCCGGCUCAUUUAAGGCAAAGACUAGUACUUUCUGAAUGCAAGACUAUAAUGACAGGAGAAGAGACUCUCAAUGGGAGUGUGUGGAAGUCAUCCUCAGACUCAGGUCAAGUUGCUCCUGUCUAUCCGCAUGAAGUUAGGAAAAGAACAAAUUGUCUCUUCAUCUGCCUGGCAAGGACAAGAACGAGCAGCAUCGUGACAAAACGUCACUAGAGGGCGCCAUUGUCAUCCUUGCAGGUGCAUAGCUGCUUGCCCAGGAGAUCAGCCCAUGGCCCCUGAAGACAGACUUGGGCGAGGGGUCCCAGAGUUCCAGGACCAUAAGGCUCAGGUCAGCUCUGCGUGAAAUUUAGGACAUCUCAGGCUUUAUUACAGAUACUUGGUCAUCUUUGAAACGUCCCGCGCUUUGCUUUGUUUUGCGUUUGUAAACACUCCAGGAAGCGAGUUACUAGAAGAACGCUGAAGUGAGACUCAGACGCAGGAGCAAAAACAAUAGCUCACGGUAUCGAUCUUGGAAAAGAUGGAAUUUAUUCCUUUAGGAAGAAAAAAUAGCCUAUAAGAAACCAGCUUUGCCCAGUUCUGAAGCAAGAAUGGAGACUCGAGUGAUAAUGAAGGAUCUCUAAUCCCAUUCCCUACCCACUGACAUCCCCGGACCCCCGCUAAUUCUAAUUCUAAUGCAAAGACCUUACUGGAUGUGGAAGUUAAGUAGUGGACACUACUGGAGCACCGAGUCCAGGGAGUACUUAGUAAAUAGUGUUGAAUGAGUAGAUGACUAGGCGGGUGAUGUCCUACUUAGCGGCAGCAAGGGGCUCUCUGGAACCACCUCCCAGCCUUUGGCCCUGAUCUUCAACUGCUGUGCCUAGGAAAAAGGAGUGAGUGAGCACAGUGGAGACGAGGCAUGGGCAGUGUUUGCAUCCCCCUCCUUUGCAGUGGCUACAGAUACAGCUUCAUCUUUGCAGUGGCUGCUUCAUAAACACCUGGUGAAUAAAGCAAGCAGAGCUGGCUCUAAUUAGGGCUUACAGGUGAAACUAAGCUGUGGAAAACAGUUUUGAGGGGAAGACACUAAUGACAGGAUCUGCCCGUGUGUGUCAUCGUCUCCCAUCAGCUGCAGGGUCUGUCCUCGGCUGUAAUUAACUUAGAACUAGUUAGGCAGCAGUGAGGUGAGGGGAUGGAGCAGACAGAGGAGGCACAGCAGAGAUGCCCUAAUGGCUUUUCCAUAUCCAGGUUGAUGGACUGUUAAGAAAAGCAGGAACAGCUUGUACUAUUCUUGGCAGCAUGAACACUGUCAUUUGUGGCAGCUAUAGGUCAUGUAUCUAUUUUCUCUGUUUGACAGGGACAAGGAGCAGUCGGUGACUGGUACAAACCCAGAGUGGCUCAUUUAAGCUGUGACGACCAGGACAGAGCCUUGGUUUUCCUGUGUGAGCUGUCGAGGAGACCAUGUGUGUGGCUAACAUCUGCACAUCUCUGCAAACUUAACUGGAGUUAGCUGAGCUCUGACUGCAGGCCAAGAGUGUCAAUGUUUCUAUCGGUAAGGGGACAUGGAGGAGCACUGAGUAGCCAAGUAACAAGACAACCCCUGUGGCCAGUCUUAUGGAACUGACUUUGGAGUAUGGAAAAGCAAGAUUAUUGAAUUACAUACGACUGAUAUACUGAGCCUCAAGACUGUAAGAAAACCACCACCAAGAGGAACUCUACACAAGCCUUAUUCUCCGGAUUAGUGGUUCUACUCAGCCCUCAGCGUGUACCAAGAGGCCCCGAGGUGUAAACAGCAGAGGCUUGCUGCACACUGGAUGAUGACACGCAAUAGAUUUGAAGAUAAGCUACCACCCUGGAGGCCUUCAUACAGAAGGGCCGUGUGGGCUCAGGGCUUGUGGUAUGUCACACAAACAGGAACACUUUACUUAGCGAGAGCUUGGAAGUGUUAGCGUGACCAAAGGAGACACUGGGAUGUAGUCCAACCUUUUCCUUGCAGAAUGAAUUCAGGUUGUGACCUGCCUUUCACAGCCACCCUGACCUCUUGAUGAGUUACAGUUGA